rnacentral:misc_RNA from 1 species
UUUCUUCUACUUCUAAUUCUUAAAUAUUAACAUGGUAUCAAAGCUUUGCUAAAAUUCUGGAAAAUUUUGAAAUUUCGUCCUUGUUCACGUUACCCACCUGCUACCUUUCUAGCGCACCCAUCUAGGGUGAUUUGUUUAUCUCAAAGCCCCCCUAAGAAGAGAACUUGGCUGCCAACCGGCCUUUCUCCAAAGUUUGUGAAGCGCGUGGCCCACACCACUGUUCUCAAAGGCGCACCUGAGGCUCUAGGUGUAGCGCCUCAUUUAGGGAAAGGCGAGCAACCUCACCCAGGCUCAAAGAGGCACAGUGAGGCACAGGGAGGCAUUAGGCGCGCCUAGGCGUGCUUGAGUGAGGUCAAGCUAAGGCUUUUAAAAAUAAGCCCACAUCCUUUUUUUUUUUUUGAAUUAUCGCAACACAAAGCCAAGCCAACCCAGACCCUUUGACGAUGAAGAAGAAGAAGAAAAAGACAAAGAAGAAAGAAGAGGAGAAGGAUCCUUUAUUUGUUGCUGCAUGCUUCUCCACUUCAAAGAUUUACUCUCUAGGUUUGCCUUUUUUUUAUUUUUUGUUUUCCUCUUCUCUUCCUUCUCGCCUCAUCUCUCUUUAGCCCUUGUUCAAGCUUUUUUUUUUCCCUUUCCGUCACACCUCAUCUCUACAACCUUGAUCAUGCUUCUUUUUCCUCUUCUCUUCCUUCAUGCCUCAUCUCUCCAACCCUGUUCAUACUUUGUUUCCUUCAUUCUACUCUGCUGCUCUCUUUCUAGCCUUCGGUCUUUAAAAUUUUCAGUGGCUUGGUGUUGGAUUUUUUUUUUCCUACUCUUCAUGCUGCUUUCUCCAGCUGUGGGUUUUUUUUCUCCAACCAACUGUGAUUGAUUUCUACUAUUAUGUUCCCAUUUUGAGCCUUAUAUUUUUUAUUAUUGUGCUAAAUUCAAUGGGUGGAUGUUUCAUAUUUGAGACUGAGUGUUUGGACAAUAAAUUAGAAGGAAAAAUUAAUAAUUAAUAAUGUAAAAUAUUUAUUAACAUUUUGUUGAUAUAAUUUUAAGUUUUUGU